UGGGGAAUUUUGGACAAUGGGCGAAAGCCUGAUCCAGCAAUGCCGCGUGUGUGAAGAAGGCCUUCGGGUUGUAAAGCACUUUUGUCCGGAAAGAAAUCCUUGGCUCUAAUACAGUCGGGGGAUGACGGUACCGGAAGAAUAAGCACCGGCUAACUACGUGCCAGCAGCCGCGGUAAUACGUAGGGUGCAAGCGUUAAUCGGAAUUACUGGGCGUAAAGCGUGCGCAGGCGGUUUGCUAAGACCGAUGUGAAAUCCCCGGGCUCAACCUGGGAACUGCAUUGGUGACUGGCAGGCUAGAGUAUGGCAGAGGGGGGUAGAAUUCCACGUGUAGCAGUGAAAUGCGUAGAGAUGUGGAGGAAUACCGAUGGCGAAGGCAGCCCCCUGGGCCAAUACUGACGCUCAUGCACGAAAGCGUGGGGAGCAAACAGGAUUAGAUACCCUGGUAGUCCACGCCCUAAAACGAUGUCAACUAGUUGUUGGGGACUUCAUUUCCUUAGUAACGUAGCUAACGCGUGAAGUUGACCGCCUGGGGAGUACGGUCGCAAGAUUAAAACUCAAAUGAAUUGACGGGGUCAUAGCUGUUUCCU
rnacentral:rRNA from 1 species